GACGAACGCUGGCGGCGUGCCUCAGACAUGCAAGUCGAACGAUUAAAGCUCUCUUCGGAGAGUGCAUAAAGUGGCGCACGGGUGAGUAACACGUAAGUAAUCUACCUUCGAGUGGGGAAUAACGUCCGGAAACGGACGCUAAUACCGCAUAACGCAGCGGCAUCGCAAGAUGACAGUUGUUAAAGAUUUAUCGCUUGAAGAGGAGCUUGCGGCAGAUUAGCUGUUGGUAAGGUAACGGCUUACCAAGGCUACGAUCUGUAUCCGGUCUAAGAGGACGGUCGGACACACUGACACUGAAUAACGGGUCAGACUCCUACGGGAGGCAGCAGUCGGGAAUUUUGGGCAGUGGGGGGAAACCC
rnacentral:rRNA from 1 species